rnacentral:rRNA from 1 species
CAGUAGCCACGGUAACACGAAGGGUGCAAGCGUUAAUCGGAAUUACUGGGCGUAAAGCGCACGCAGGCGGUCUGUCAAGUCAGAUGUGAAAUCCCCGGGCUUAACCUGGGAACUGCAUUUGAAACUGGCAGGCUAGAGUCUUGUAGAGGGGGGUAGAAUUCCAGGUGUAGCGGUGAAAUGCGUAGAGAUCUGGAGGAAUACCGGUGGCGAAGGCGGCCCCCUGGACAAAGACUGACGCUCAGGUGCGAAAGCGUGGGGAGCAAACAGGAUUAGAUACCCCGGUAGUCCCUGUCUCUUAUAC